AGCUGGCAAACGAAGAACGAACAUAAACCAACCAACGUCAGUAGCUUAGAAUUUGUUAAAUAAUAAUUUAAUUAACGGAAAAUAAAUUGCAUAAACAUCUCGAUUGUAUUGGGCGUUUACUAUUGCAAUAAGUAUUGUACUGUAAACCAUUCAAAUAUAUUUCAAAAUGGAUAUUCGUGCGAUCCUUAGCCUGAUUGUACUCAUGUUCGUCUAUAUCGGUCGUCCAUUGAUGAACGUAAAGGUGAAUUUGUUCAACCAGGACGGUUGUAAAGAUAAUAUCCGCGCUUAUGGCAAUUUCAUGAUUAUGACGGUGUGUCAUGGAUCUACAAAUAUCAGUGGAGUGGUGGACGACCAUGAUGGCCCUAAAAAUAUGACUGUUGUUUCUCAAACACCCAACGCUUAUGAAGUGUGUCAGGAUGUAAAGCCAGAUGUCCUGUUUGUGUUGAUACUAGGGGCUAACUACUUCAUCAUUUUGUUGAGCUGCAUACACGUUUUCAUGUCGGCGAUCUGGUUGAGAAAGAGUACGGAUAUGGAUGCCUUGUCAUUCGCUAAGCACUCAGCACUCGGAUGCUUCAUCGAUCUGUUAAUGCUUCUGUGUUACAUUCUAUUCGCGUCGAUGGUUGGCAAAUCUGGUGGAUUUUCCACAGCCGAUCUUACGGGCUACUUCUUUGCACUGUCCGUAUUUACAGGAGGUGUCUUUACCUUGAUGUUGUUGACUCUGAUUAUCUCGGGGAAAGAAUUGCUGUUGAAAAACAAAGAGGCAGAAAAUGACAAGACAAUUAAACCAUUAAUAAAAGAGUAAUAAGAGCACGCCCUGCACAUGGCAUACAAACAGGUUGCAUUGGCCUUGACAUGCGUCAUUCAGUUCUGGCGUACAGUUUACAUUGAUCGUUAACUCAUAAGCAGCAAUCGUAUUUAUGCUGUCGUUGACCUGUUUAUAAUGGUAUGCUAUGUAUGUCCAUUUUUAUUCAUUCAAUAUAUGAAUCGAAUAUAGAGCGGCAAAAAGUAUUUUCAUGAAAAAAAAUAUGUGCAUGGAGCGGAGGUUCUCCAACUCGGCGUUUAUUUUCCUUGGGGUUUUCAGACAAUGCACUCAGCAAUAAUUGUCAAAAAUUUCGUCAGUUUGUUACAAAUUUAAACAUAUGAAUAACUGACCAAAAUUUCUUGUCAAUACUUGCAGUUUAUUGAGCCAUUAUAAACGAUUUGCUGUUUUCAAUUUCAAUCCGCGACAACGAAAAAAACCGCAAAACUUUGAUUAAUAGACUUUGCUGUGUUUCAUUUUGGAAACGUGUGAUUGUUAUUUGAUAUAUAAGGGUACUGUAUGUAGUCAACAAUAAAUGGCAAUUUAACAGCUCAAAUAACGUUUUAUAUUUCCAUCUUCAAUUGCAUUUAAUUAAUGUUUAAUAGUUAUUGUGAAAUUCCAAUGAACCAGACUUUUCAAUCGUCUAUUAUUUGGAAUCCCAGUUCAUGACUAUACAAAACACACAAAAGACUAGACCAAUAAGUUAGUGUCAUGGAAUUUAUAAGUAUGUUUUAUAAAGCAACACGUACGCACCGCAGAAAAUAAACAAUUGUCAAAUGAAGUACGGACAAACUAUUCGUAUACACAGAAGCAGCAAUCAUAUUUAUGCUGUCGUUAAAAUGUUUUCAACGUUGCAUUACUUUAGUCCUUGUCUAUGUUUCGAGUAUAUGUAUCGAUUAAGGAGUGGCUAAUACUCUUGUCAAUAAAAUUACCAUGUGUAUGGAGUGUUGGUUUUCCAACUCGGCGAAUAUUGGCCUUGAGUUUUCCAGAAAAUGAGAUCACCAACAAUUAUGUCAUAGUGCGUUUGUUCAUUACAAGUACAAACGCAUAAAUAGCUCACCGACAUUAACACAACACUUACAUUUAUGAAUAAAUUAAAUCAAAGCGCUGAUGGCAGUACUAACUAUCUUUACUCUUGCUUAAUUCCAAGUUUUUGAGGACUUUAAAAAAAAUAUGUAAAUAAAACAAUUAUGCGGGUAAAUUUAAAUAUUGUCAACAAUAGAAAACAACGGAUACAAUAAAAUAAAAUAAUUAACUCUUUUUUUCCACGGCGGCACAAAGCGACCUAUGCGUUAUCAUAUGAAACCACAAUACACACACUUUUAUGAAGCACAAAGAAAUCUUAAAAAACAAAAGGAGGAUCUGUUGACUUUAGUGUCAAAUCGUAUUCAUCUUUCAUUCGUGCGCAUUUAUAAGAGAUAUUUUCACGCGUGGAGGCACCACACGUAAUAAGAUGUUUUAUAUGAUCACUCAUGACAUUACAAUACUAUCGUACAAUAUACUCUACACCUCUGUAUAUUUGCCUCGUGAUCAUAGACAAAUAAUAUUUUCACUCGUGGCUGCGCCACUCGAUAAAAUAUAUUUUCUAUGAUCACUCGUGAAAUAACAAACGAUCUUAUACUGACAUGAACAAAUAUCUUUUAUAUAUCUGCCAUAUCAUUGAUAAAUAAUUCUGUAAUGCCAAUUCACUAUUUAAAUUGUCAACUCUGUAACUAAAUGAUUUUAGUUUAUUUAGUUGUAUUUGCUAAUAUAUUGGUCGACCUUAAAAUAGCAACACUAAAAUCAAGAUGUCCAAUACCAAGUCCAAUGUACGUGAACAGCUCACUUCAGUGAAACCAAUUACAACGGAUUGGUAAUGAGCUGAUCUCCUUCGAAGUUUAUUGUUUGUUCGGCAUAUAGAUAGCUUUACAAUGAUUAUAAUUUCGCGCUAUUCAAAUGUGAAAGUCAGAGCGCUUAUUAUCACUAAAGUACUGAUGUUUUUCUAUAUCGGAAGGCCUCUUAUGAAUGUAACAGUAGAUUUGUUUGACCAGAAACCCGACCAGGGCAGUUUUAGCAGACAUGGACAUUUCCUGAAAAUCACCGUUUGUCAUGAAUCUCAAAACAGAAGUUCCGAGGUGAAAAACGUUGAUGACUGUGUGGAUCAUUCUACUGGAAAUAAAAUUGUUGCUGCUAACACAGAACAUUGCUGUGAGGAUUGCAUGGAUGACAAAAGUAUCACAUUCGUGUUUAUGUCAGCAACGUUCCUCGGAAAACGGAAGAACAUUCAGUUCGAGGCACUCGUUACACUCGGAUUGUGCAUCGAGUUUGUUAUGAUCGUCUGCUUCCUCUUUGCGACUGUGGUUGCCAACUCAUUGGAGUUCUCAACUGCUGACCUGACAACCUUCUUCUAUUCAACGACCGUCUAACUGCGUGUCUUCUUAAACUAACGUUCACUACGCUCAUUAUAUCAGUUGUUUCCGGAAGAAAGCUUCCUUGGAGUAACGAUGAUAACAAUCAUGGCGUCAAACCAUAAGUGCAUGCAUGCAAACUUUAAAUGAACGUUGUCCGUAACGCUUUUGAGUUGUCGUGAACGAAAAGAGCGUCUUAAAUCAACGGCAUGCAAUUAUUACUUUACUGCUGCAGGAACGAUUACUUGCUGGUUAUUGCAUAUUAAUUGUACUAUAAUGUUGUGAAUGUAUUUCCUGAUAUUAAGCUGUUCAAUUCUUGGCGCCUUUUUGUAUUAUAAUGAUCAGUAAAAGAUAAACCAUUAUCUCACGUCAAGUAAGAUUCAACGUUCAAAGUUUCCGUUCAACACGAGUGACCUGAGCCUACAUGUACAAACUUAUGACAUGUUAAGGAAAUAAAUAAAACACUUAUUCUUCAAGUAUAUAAUCUUGACUAUUUGCGGCAGUUAAUUUUUUAUUGAUAGGAUAUUUAUAAAAGAUGAACUCAGCUUUAUAUUUAUAAACAUUAUAAUUGGGUUGCCAUAUGGCGAUGAUUUUGUGUGUUUACCAUUCGCAAUGAGUGGUAAUUAUAUCCGUGGGCGUUUGUUUUAUUUUUACUUUCAUUUUGAGUUCGAUUCAAGCUGAAAACAUAUUGAAUUAAAGUGAUUAACUUCAUGUGACAAAGCGUAAAUUGCUUAUGUAUGUAAAACAUCAAAGAUACUUUUUUUCAGAAAUACGAUCCAAAAUAAUACUGUUAAAUGAAUUUCAUAACCACAUCGAAAUAAAUUACGUGUUCCUGCCGUCGAUUGCAUUUAUAUAAUUAUAUUUAUAUUCUCAAAGUUUGUUAUCUUGUUAUGUUGUUAUACCUAUUUACGUGACAGAAAUCAAUGUGUAUAUUUAAGUAUGAAGACGAUGUACUCGUUUACAAGUCUGAAUAAAAAGUAUGUCUGUU